CCCGGACAGGAAGAUCACAUAAGUGACUCAACCCACUCAAGUGACGGUUGUGUCUCAGCCUGAAGAAGUGCCACCAAUCCCCAGGAUGGGUCAUCAUUGCUUUUUUAAACUAUUUUAUUUACCUCCACUGUUUAGCAAUGUUACUGAAACCAAAGCCUGUCAAAAACACCAUGAAUGUGUGUUGAACAAAGAUGGUCACUACGAGUAUUUGCUUUGCUUUAUAAGGUACUGAAUGGAAGGAAGUCAAAGAUUGGUACAGAGGCACAUAUUACCUUGAAGUUAAUCCCCCAAAUACUGUGGAUGAGGGAAUGGAGGAAGGAGUAUGACUUUAGUGACUUGUAUUGUACAGUGUGCAUGGUUCCACCCAUGGAAGGUACUCUCCUUGGAUCCACAACAACAGAGUGGCACUCAAUUACUGUCUCAUUGUGUUUAUGGCUGCUCAGUACGUUGGCCAGGCUUUGGCAUCAGCCAUCCCAUUUGUUGUACAGUGUAGUUUGAAUGAAAGUUUAGAAAAAAAGGACAAGUAGGCAAUUUAGUGUGCCUUUGCAAUCCCUAUCCCCUUUGACGGUUUCUUUCUCUGUCCUUAUCGUGAAUGCACAAGUGGUUUGAGUUAUCUGUGUUGAUCCAGCUUUGGGAAUCUACAGCCAAACUAGAGGGGCAUAAGCCGAACAUGUGUGAUUAUAUGUAACCCAAUCACAAUGCAGAGUGUACAUCUCCUUAACGAGACAACGAUCUAUGCCAAUGGAGUAAUGUACAUUAUGUAGUCAUAGUGUUGUUUUAUAUUGUACAUACAGAUAGAUGUAUGCACAUGAUGUCAUUUAAUUUAAUAGACAAGGUGGUGGUGGUGUUGCUGGUGGUGUUAAGAUGUCCAAUGAGGAAAGAAAUGCCUUUUCAAAGAGAACAAGAUGGUUUGUAUUGGGCCAGGGAAGCUGAUGUGUUUUAGUUCGAUACAGGCCUUCAGGGCCUCACCCACACAUUCUCAUGUUAGCCGCUCAUUCAAAGGAGUAGGAUAGGGGGACCAGGCAGCAAUCUUGUUUUCGCUAGUGCUAGUGGUGUCUCGAGACAAUGCCUGUCCAUAAUUCAUACUCAUCUAGUCCUCUGGAAGCCGCUCGCAUGCUAUCUGCCUGGUAAUGCUGUCUUUUAAUAUAGCCAUGCACUGGUCUAUUUGUGUAUUGACAGCUUCCCAUCACACACACACACACCACACAGUACACAGUGAACCGAAAGCCGAAAUAGUCAGACUUGUUAUUUCUGUUCCUUUAGAAUAAAUUUGAUGGAGGGAAUGUCGGGGAGCAUUAUGACUGACUGAUGGUCCUGCCCAUCAAAGGGAGCACAAAAAUAACUAUUGCAUAGCCCAGGAGACAAUAUACACACACACACACACAAACAGUGCUAUGUGUCUUAUCAUUCUCAAAAACAGAUGCUCUUACACAGUUUUCAAGGGAACCUGAGAGAGUAGUGGGAGAGGAGGGGACGUAUAACAAGAUUAAAAUCGAGCCAGAGCUCUAGGCUCCUCCAUUUAAAUUCCCUGCACUGCCUACAGGAGCAGCCCGGUGGAGGAUAGAAUACUUUGUCUUAAAUUCCUCCGGCUUUUUGAUUUGCCUUCCAGCAACUGGAGGUCUCAGGUGGCAAAUUCCCCAGUUUACGAGCCCUCACGUUGCUUCUCCUCAUCUGUGCCAGCUUUGUGGACUGUCAAACCUACUUCUCCAAAUGAAUCCUGAUAGGCUUUUGUCUGAGCAGUCAGGAAUUUAAACUAGGCUCUCUCUCCACCCCAGAUUUGCAACACACUCCAAAAUGGUUCUUAAAGUGGCACCACUCUAAUGUUAUCAGCAUUCAAACGUAAGUGAUUCAUGAUUCUGAUUAUCCUGCAUUAUAUUAUAUGAAUAUGAAUCUCAUGUAGCCACCAUGUUUGUGUUCUUUAGCAGUUUUUGGGACAAGCAGUCCAGCAUGACAGAUUGAAGCUCAGACUGUGUUUGGCCAGCCUCUGGUACAGGAACAUGAUGCAUUGUGACAUUCUGAAAGUGGAGGGGUGGAAGUCCAUCUCAGAAAGGAGGAACGCUAAGGGAGCUGCAUGUCAAAGGUCAUCGAGCAGAUGAGGGGAAUGCUUUGCUUUGAUGUAAACUUAUACCUGUAUUUGGCUAAAAUCAUGUUAUUGUAAAUAUAUAUCACAGAACGUUUUAUGAAGCUUUAUUUUGUUUUCUGUUUUGGUUCUUCUGAAUCCAUGUACUUUUCACUUUUGUGUGCUGUGCUCAUCGUGGGUGAGGGUUGGGGGAUGGGGGGUUUGGCUUUGUCUGUAACGACCUUGUCUGGAUGUCAGACAGACAGCUCAGCACGGCAUGAUAAAAGGAAAUAUAAACCUCUCUUUACUUUUCACUCAUCUGUCAUCUUCUUCACAGUCGCUUCUCUUUGGUUUUUUAAAGCGGUACAGUUUGUUUGACAAAAACAAUCCAUGUAAAUAUCACAAGUAAAAAAUGUAUAUUUUUACGACUUCUGAGUUAUUACUAUUUCCUUUGCAAAUAAAAUAUACAAUGACAAG
ensembl:lncRNA